UACGAAGGGGGCUAGCGUUGUUCGGAAUUACUGGGCGUAAAGCGCGCGCAGGCGGUUUUUCAAGUCAGUGGUGAAAGCCCGGAGCUCAACUCCGGAACUGCCAUUGAAACUGUAAAACUUGAGGACGAGAGAGGUGAGUGGAAUUCCCAGUGUAGAGGUGAAAUUCGUAGAUAUUGGGAAGAACACCGGUGGCGAAGGCGGCUCACUGGCUCGUAUCUGACGCUCAGGCGCGACAGCGUGGGGAGCAAACAGG
rnacentral:rRNA from 1 species